rnacentral:rRNA from 1 species
GUAACGGCGAGUGAAGCGGCAAUAGCUCAAAUUUGAAAGCUGGCCCCUUCGGGGUCCGCGUUGUAAUUUGUAGAGGAUGAUUCGGCGAGGGCUCCCGUCUAAGUCCCUUGGAACAGGGCGUCAUAGAGGGUGAGAAUCCCGUAUGUGAUGGGCUGCCUUAGCCAUGUGAAUCUCCUUCGACGAGUCGAGUUGUUUGGGAAUGCAGCUCUAAAUGGGAGGUAAAUUUCUUCUAAAGCUAAAUACCGGCCAGAGACCGAUAGCGCACAAGUAGAGUGAUCGAAAGAUGAAAAGCACUUUGGAAAGAGAGUUAAAAAGUACGUGAAAUUGUUGAAAGGGAAGCGCUUGCAGCCAGACUUGUCCGCAGUUGCUCAGCUUGUCUCCUGACAGGCGUACUCUUCUGCGGCCAGGCCAGCAUCAGUUCGGGCGGUCGGAUAAAGACCUGGGGAAUGUAGCUCCUCUCGGGGAGUGUUAUAGCCCUGGGUGCAAUGCGGCCAGCCUGGACUGAGGAUCUCGCUUCGGCUAGGAUGCUGGCGUAAUGGCUGUAAGCGGCCCGUCUUGAAACACGGACCAAGGAGUCUAACAUCUAUGCGAGUGUUUGGGUGUCAAACCCAUGCGCGUAAUGAAAGUGAACGGAGGUGGGAACCCUCACGGGUGCACCAUCGACCGAUCCUGAUGUCUUCGGAUGGAUUUGAGUAAGAGCAUAGCUGUUGGGACCCGAAAGAUGGUGAACUAUGCCUGAAUAGGGUGAAGCCAGAGGAAACUCUGGUGGAGGCUCGCAGCGGUUCUGACGUGCAAAUCGAUCGUCAAAUUUGGGUAUAG